rnacentral:tRNA from 11 species
CGUGGCGUAGUGGUUAAGACGCCAGGCUCACAACCCGCUGGUCGCAGGUUCAAGCCCGG